ACAAGGCAAAAGGAAGGGGGAAACCCUAGUUCAAAGAAUCAAGUGAUUCAAUCCAAAUUCAUGAGCCAAUCUGGUGCAUGAUCCCUAAAUUGUGAUUAGCUAACCCUAAUCUCUUAAGUGGCGUAAAAGAAGAAGGUACAGGCACUAAGCAAGCGGAAGGAGCACAAGAUCGAGGUAAAGCACCUCUAUAGGCGAUUUGGAGAUAUGGGACGAGCACAUGUUCAAGCCUUAUGAUACCAAGCGCUUCCGCAACUUAUAUGCAUGCUUUUGGGUCGUGUUUGUUACUUGUUAAACUUUGUUGAAAUGUUUUAGAAUUGAAAACUUGUCGUUUUGUUGGGAUGGUUUUAUGUAAAAUGGGUCGUAUUGUAAACCUUGUAAGUUAUGUCAA